UACGGAGGGUGCGAGCGUUAAUCGGAAUUACUGGGCGUAAAGGGUGCGUAGGUGGUUGAUUAAGUUAUCUGUGAAAUUCCUGGGCUUAACCUGGGCGGGUCAGAUAAUACUGAUUGACUUUGAGUAUGGGAGAGGGUAGUGGAAUUUCCGGUGUAGCGGUGAAAUGCGUAGAGAUCGGAAGGAACACCGGUGGCGAAGGCGGCUACCUGGCCUAAUACUGACACUGAGGCACGAAAGCGUGGGGAGCAAACAGG
rnacentral:rRNA from 1 species